rnacentral:rRNA from 1 species
GACGUAGGGCGCGAGCGUUGUCCGGAUUUAUUGGGCGUAAAGAGCUCGUAGGCGGUUUGUCGCGUCGUUCGUGAAAACUCACAGCUUAACUGUGAGCUUGCGGUCGAUACGGGCAGGCUAGAGUUCGGUAGGGGAGACUGGAAUUCCCGGUGUAGCGGUGAAAUGCGCAGAUAUCGGGAGGAACACCGGUGGCGAAGGCGGUUCUCUGGGCCUGACCUGACGCUGAGGAGCGAAAGCGUGGGGAGCGAACAGG